rnacentral:rRNA from 1 species
AUGAACGCUAGCGGGAGGCCUAACACAUGCAAGCCGAGCGGUAGAGAUUCUUCGGAAUCUUGAGAGCGGCGUACGGGUGCGGAACACGUGUGCAACCUGCCUUUAUCAGGGGGAUAGCCUUUCGAAAGGAAGAUUAAUACCCCAUAAUAUAUUUGAUGGCAUCAUUAGAUAUUGAAAGCUUUGGCGGAUAGAGAUGGGCACGCGCAAGAUUAGAUAGUUGGUGAGGUAACGGCUCACCAAGUCGAUGAUCUUUAGGGGGCCUGAGAGGGUGAUCCCCCACACUGGUACUGAGACACGGACCAGACUCCUACGGGAGGCAGCAGUGAGGAAUAUUGGACAAUGGGUUAGCGCCUGAUCCAGCCAUCCCGCGUGAAGGACGACGGCCCUAUGGGUUGUAAACUUCUUUUGUACAGGGAUAAACCUACUCUCGUGAGAGUAGCUGAAGGUACUGGACGAAUAAGCACCGGCUAACUCCGUG